rnacentral:lncRNA from 1 species
AGGUUACCAGUUCGGUUUUUCAUUGGAGGUUUUUAGAAGAUCAAGGGAAUUAGAGAGAGGAGCUUCAUGCUUCGGGUCGGGGAAGGAAAGACAUAGAAUUUGGAUUUUUCUUCUUCGUAGAGUUUUGGAAAGACUGAGGCAAUUGCUGCUGAAGUCAGUGUUGUAAUGGUGAAUCGGGAUUUUUAAAUGAAGUGGGUUUGAAUACUCUUGACUGUUUUGUAAAAUCGAGUUACAUCUGUGAUUG